GGUUAAGUGACUAAGCGUACACGGUGGAUGCCCUGGCAGUCAGAGGCGAUGAAGGGCGUGCUAAUCUGCGAUAAGCGUCGGUAAGGUGAUAUGAACCGCAACAACCGACGAUACCCGAAUGGGGAAACCCGGUGCACAUGUGCAUCAUUGCAGCAUGAAUACAUAGUGCUGCAAGGCGAACCUGGGGAACUGAAACAUCUAAGUACCCAGAGGAAAAGAAAUCAACCGAGAUUCCCCCAGUAGCGGCGAGCGAACGGGGAACAGCCCGGAACCAUCAUCAGUUUGUGUGUCAGUGGAAGCGUCUGGAAAGUCGCAGGGUACAGGGUGAUACUCCCGUACACAAAGGCAUGCUUAUUGUGGGUUCGAAGAGUAGGGCGGGACACGUGAUAUCCUGUCUGAAGAUGG
rnacentral:rRNA from 1 species